rnacentral:rRNA from 1 species
GACGAACGCUGGCGGCGUGCCUAAUACAUGCAAGUAGAACGCUGAAGAGAGGAGCUUGCUCUUCUUGGAUGAGUUGCGAACGGGUGAGUAACGCGUAGGUAACCUGCCUUGUAGCGGGGGAUAACUAUUGGAAACGAUAGCUAAUACCGCAUAACAAUGGAUGACACAUGUCAUUUAUUUGAAAGGGGCAAUUGUUCCACUACAAGAUGGACCUGCGUUGUAUUAGCUAGUAGGUGAGGUAAUGGCUCACCUAGGCGACGAUACAUAGCCGACCUGAGAGGGUGAUCGGCCACACUGGGACUGAGACACGGCCCAGACUCCUACGGGAGGCAGCAGUAGGGAAUCUUCGGCAAUGGGGGCAACCCUGACCGAGCAACGCCGCGUGAGUGAAGAAGGGUUUCGGAUCGUAAAGCUCUGUUGUAAGUCAAGAACGGGUGCGAGAGUGGAAAGUUCACACUGUGACGGUAGCUUACCAGAAAGGGACGGCUAACUACGUG